UUUCCCUACUACCUCGGUCUUUACUCUUAUUAAUGUCGACCGUCCGUCUUAUUUGAAAGUUUUUAUGAUUGGUAUUUUUUUAUUACAAGAUAGUAAAAGAUGAAUAGUAUUUUAUAUGUGAUUAUUUUUUUUAUAAAUUUUUAAAAUAAUACGGACGGUUAAAUGUUGGAUACGGAAAUUUACAACUGCACUUAAA
rfam:Oryza barthii chromosome 1, whole genome shotgun sequence.